GACCAAUUUGUGCAGAAAUCCAUAUCAUCCCAAAGGGUUCACAUACUUUUUCUUGCAACUGUAUGGCCUAAAAUUAAAAGGUUCUUCCUGAUGCAGUGCUGCACAGUGUGCAACACUAACAUUCAGUGUCUCCACCAUCUUCUUAGAGACACUAAACUUUUCUCACAGAGAUGCAUUGAUUAGAUGCAUAUCUAUGAGGAGAUACUUAUUGGCCAGGGUGGCAUUUGGCUCUGCUGCUCAGCUUGCCUCCUUGGGUAAGUUCAUCAGAAUUGGCAAUCUCAGACAAUCCAAUGCUUUCUUAUGGGAUGAUGUCAGCCAAGGAGGCAGAUCAGGAGCAGAGUUAGCACCAGCAGACAGGAAUAAAGGUAAGAUUUUACUAAAUAGCCAGGGGGGAUAAAUAGUAUUUUUUUUUAACACUAUAGCAUCAGGAAUACAUGUCUGUAUUCCAGAAACUAUAGUGUUCCUUUAAAUGAAGGUCUCUGUUGACAUUUUAAUAACUAACAAAUCUUUCACAAAAAAUAAAGCUAUUUAAGUCCAGAUAAAGAUUUUGUUAAAAAAAUCAAUCAAAACAAAAUAAAAUAAAACUACUUUAUUCACUCAGAAGUAUAUGUAUAGUUGAAUGAACCAAAUGUACACAUGUAAUCUUAAGAAAGAUUUCUACAUAUGUGAGAGAAUGAUUACCUCUUUUCUAAUCACCAACCACACUAGUGUGACAUUUUUACCUUAAUUUAUGCGUUUUAUAU